AUGUUGUUGUGUUCAGUGACAGAGCAGAAGACAUUGUAGCUCUUUUGGAUAUUUGUCCAGCUCUGUGCCUGCACCAAGCCACAGCUGUUCCUACUGAGAUAGACAGAAACUUCAGUAACAGACUCCCUCAAUAGGCAGCAAGCUGUAAUACGGGAUAUGCCCCGAUAGUCUGAAGAAUAUGGGAGAAAAUGAAGACUAACGUUCUCGGGUACGUGCUCACUGCUGUUAUUGAAAUGGCCUGUCAUGCUGAACGUCUGAACAAGCAGCUUUCAUCAUCUAUAAUGACUCUACCUUUUCCAAGAGGAGGCUAGCCGCUUGGAAAUUUUUUGCUUCUUAAGGUUAGGAAGGUGGCAUAAUUGAGCAAACAACAAGUAUUUAGGCAACUUUAAACAGCAAACCAUACCUAUUCAGAGCAAAGGACAUGGUGAAGUGAAAAAAACAACAAAAAAGCCCAACACCUAAACCCUGUACCUGUGCUA